GGGAGUGUGGCGUAGUUGGUAGCGCGUCCGCUUUGCAUGCGGAAGGUCUCUGGUUCGAUCCCUGACUCUUCCA
rfam:Babjeviella inositovora NRRL Y-12698 unplaced genomic scaffold BABINscaffold_1, whole genome shotgun sequence.